ensembl:lncRNA
CAACGGAGGCAGAGAUUGCAGUGAGCAGCUGCAAGCCAAGGAAGGCCAAGGACCGUCAGCAGCACCAGAUGCUGGGAGGGAGGCCAGAAGGGAUUCUCCUCAGAGCCUCCAAAAGCCACCCACCUGCUGACACCUGGAGUUUGGACUUCCAGACUCCACAACAGUGAGAGAAUCAAUGAGAACUCCGGAGACAUGUCACUCCUCAAGGGUUCAGCUGAGGAUGGCUGGCACAUGCACAUGAAGGGAAGAGCCAACUAAAGGAUCAGAGGGAACGGUGCCCGGCACUCCUGCAGACUGCCUCCUGCCACUAGCCAGAAUGGAAAGUGUCAUGGUAUGUCCGCCUAGGUCACCUUGAUGAGUUCCAGACACUGCGGCUGGAGGAGAGUUGCACCAUCACUGAUGAGAAUGAUCAGGUCACUGGAUACAAAACAAAGAGGAACUGCCACCUGAUUGAAAAAUUGAAAAGGGUAAGGCGGAAAGAGGUUCUUGCCUGUGUUCAGGAUCUGUCACAUCGGCUAUUCCCAAACUUGCCAAGUGCACCGAGGAAGCAUGUGAGAAAAUGUCACUGAGCAGCAGACAGUUUACGUGUGUGGUGCUUCUCCCUUCAUACAGCUUUGAAGAAAAGUCAGGACCAUUAUACCCUGACUGUGAGCUCUGUCCGUGUCAAGGGUCACCACAAGGCCAGAGCCUGAGAGGUCACUUGGCCCCACCAGGUUCUCCCUCUGCCCACCUGGUCAGCCCGUCACCGCAACAACUGUGGGUCCUGAGGACCAGGUUUACACUUGGUCGGUUGGGUCCAAAUCCUAGACCUGUGUUCCUGGUAUGGAUGCUCAGUUCUUUACCCUCCAGUUUCCUUUUUUAUAAAUAGGGGAAAUAAUAGUGCUGCCCUCAAAGUGAGGCCAUGAGUACCAGAUGAACAGACAAAGCGUAUAGCACCUGGAGUAUAAUGCAACGAAGCCAAGUGAGAUGCUGCUGCUGUUCAAGUCCUGAGCUGAGUGAGAGGAUGCGACGGGGCAGAGGGGACCGCUUCCAUAGACUUCACAUGCACAGCGGCUGUGUUUUAACCAACACACACCCACUCUCUAGGGCUGUUACACUGACGCUUCAGCGUCAUCCUGUUCAACCUGCAAGACCAGCUCCUCAUACAGCAGAGAUCUGACUAUGUACAUGUUUCCCGGUGAAGCUUGUCAGAUGAAACCUAAAAGCCUGCUGACUUCUGACCUGUCCUGUGGGAGCACACGGAGGGUUGACUAGUCAGCAAACCCACCCAAAGCUCUCUCAGGAAAUCUCAGUCCCACUCCAACAGACAAUGGAAGGACACCACAUUACCAGCAUUGACAAACUGGAAUUUUUUCAGGGAAGUGAGGAGACCCAUUUGUCUCAGAAAUGCAAAUUUGGGGGCAGUGAAAAGAUUUUGUAGUUCAAAGGAAUUGAGACUUUAAUGUGAAUAAUAUUUGACCAAGAUUUGAAAAGUUGAAUUGAUAAUAAGGUGAUAAUUCAGAAUUAAAUCUAUUUUAUCCACUAAAUGGGGAUUAGGAAGGGAAUUAUCCUGUUUAGUUAAAAAAAUUUCCAAUAAAGUAGGCACUUUAUCCAUGCUUUCCAGGGUAUUUCAUUGGCUCCUGCUCUGGUCACUCCCUAAGCAAUCCCGAAGAUUGCUCUGGAAGAAAAAGACGCCUUGGGAGUGAGUAGGGCAGCCGUGAGACAUCUGCAGGCUGGGCCGGGAAUCCCUAUGGAACAGGUACCCUGCAUCUUGUCUUCUAAAUCUUUCUACACAACUGUGUUAGUUACUCAAAUUCUUACCUCCAAUCAAAACUCCAGGAAAGAAAAUAAACUUUGGGUGCAAAUAUAGAAAAUUGUGUGUGGAUUUCUAUGAUGCAUUCUCUGUUUUUACAACAUGAGGAUAGGUGAAAGCUAAGAAUCUGAACAUUGGUUGUUACUUAAUAAGUGAUGCUGAGUUAGAUAAGAAUCAG